rnacentral:lncRNA from 1 species
GUUUUGAACCAAGCCCUGUGAAGGAGAGAACACAAAAAUCCCCAGUUUAGCAGCCUUAGCCUUUAUGAGAGACGCUCUGCUCUUUCACGAGAACAAACCUGUGCUUCUUCAUGCAAAGAGCGAGUGAGGAAGGUGAAAAGCAUUCCUGUUAAAUAUUCUACCCGAAUGUUUGAAACUGACAGCCACACAGAGGAAAAAACCCCACACGCCAUGUGAGGCUGUGUGAGGCUCACUGCAAAGAACGGCUUCUGUGCGAGGCAGGGGGAGAAAAGGUCACUCACAACACCCACUGCCAGUUGUAUUUUUAAACCUUUAUUAUGUCCAUUCUCAGCAGCCCAAUCCAUGACGGAGGUUCCGGUGUGUGCAGGCGGCCAGGUGUGCUGGAGUCGGUCCCUAAGAUCUCAGCUUGUGAGUGGAAACGUGCAGCUGGCUGCUGGUAACUCCAACAACUGCCUAGACUUCAGCCAAGGAUGAUUUUGGUAAAGAGGGGUUGUCAGGACAGCCCCAGUGCUACCAGGUAUGUGUGUGCCACACCUGCUGCCCACAGCCCUUCCUGCAGAGUGCUAUGGCCGUGCCUCUGACCCUCACCCAUGGCCUGGACUGGCCUUUGGCACAGGCUACACCCCA